GGUCACCGGGUCACUGGGUCAGUAAACUAACUGAGUCACCGAGUCACUCGGUCACUCUAUGACCCAGUCCAACUCUGACUACAACUUAGUAUCGUGGACCAGGGUGAGCUGAAAGCAAAAAUCUGAGAAGAAAUGAGGGAGACCCGACUGGAAAUACAAACAGUACGGGCAGAAAUGAACCAGAAGAGAGAGCCAGAAGAAAGCCUACGACCGGCGGGAAGAAAAAUUGGAAACACAUACCACCAGAAUUACGAGUAGACGGAAUGAGACAAUACAAUAUUGGAAAUAAGAAAGGCAUGAGCAGGUCAGAGAGCGACUCUAGAAUGUGGUGGGAUAACUUGAAGAGGGAAUAAAGAAAAACGAAGAAAGAAUUAACCUGCAUGACAGAGAUAUUGGAGAAUUGAGGAACAAAUGAAAGGAGCCCCAAAAAAAACAGCAGCAUCACAGCAGGGAUCAUUAAUUUAUAAAGCGGACCACGUGUUUCAUCAAAAGUCAAAGAAAUUUGAAGAUGGCAUCAUCCACACCGCAAACUUAGUAAAGAGCCUUGAAAACUAUUUUCCAAACCCACUCGUGGGUGAUACAGCGUAGCACAACUGUAAAUGAUGAGUAACGGGUGGCCCAGAUCUUGAUGGAAGAGACAGACAGACAGACGACGGAAAAUCGAGCACAUAAGAAAUAAGGUGAGAUAAUAUUGAAAAAGCUGACAAUGGAAGACAAGAUAAAUUUAUACAAGGAGGAUGGGACAACAAUUGGCGAGAAAGAAAAAGUUAUGGGCCCGAUAGGGUAUAUGGAGGGAGAUGGGUAUCUGGAUUUCCACCACCGAGAAUCUGCUACGAAAGCUGAAACCAGGAGCUCGUCUCGGCAAGUAAAGCGAACCCAGCCGCAGAUGCAGCUAUUUAACUUCAUUAAAAAGUAUUUUCAAAAAAAUAGUAUAAGCCAGGAGAGUUGGAGGGGGUAGAAGUUAUAUAAAACACAAGAAUAAGGAGUUAAAUUCGAAUUUUCAAAGUGACUUACAGAAGAACGUGAUGUAGAGAAACAAACAAGAUAAUCAACAUUUUAGGGAAUCAAAUGGAGCCAACCGUGCCCCAAAAUAAAUAAAUUAGAACAAAGAAACUCAACUUUCGAGCAAGUGGCAGUAACAAAAUUGAGGAUAUUCAAAACAAGUUCGAAUUACCCAGCAGACGUUAGCAUAUGUUAAAUUACCCGAACUAGAGGCGCUGAAGAGCCUUGUGGAACACUAUCAAGCGUUUACAAGACAAGAUCAGAGAGAAAUUAGGAGCAACGUUCUGUACUGGAAAAAAAUUUGAGACAAUCAGAGGAAGAAUUGGAGAUACUUAUCAAAAGGGUUUGGAGAAAAUUUGGAAGACCUUCAAGGAAGAACCCGUGGGAGAAGAGCAAUCGCGUAGUUAAAAUAAGAAAUAAAAUAUUGUACACCUGCAAUACGUGAUUUAAGAUUAAGAAGCUGAUAAACUUUUAUCUUGGAACUAAUUAAGACAUCAACAAAAACGCACAAUGACAGAACGAAGGUUGAAGCGGGUAAGGUAAGAAAUAUCUAUUUACAUAUUUCGGACCAUCUCCAUUCCUGUAACUUCAUAUACCAUGAAUACAAACCUUGAUCUAGGGGCAUUCUGAAUCAAGACAAUUUCUAUGAGAUCAGUUAAACUUCUGGAUACGUCCAAUUAGAAGGUAUUGUACAAAAUUGGUUACUUUAUUGGUUUCCAGUAGCCGGCGCCGUGACGGUACCUUAUGGGUAUCGUAAUAGAUGCAAUUUGCUGUUAAAUAGCUCAUUUUGUUUCUUGAAGUGGUUUAUAUAUAAAAGAAAGACCCUUUAAGAUAAUGCAACCAAACGCAAGAAUUUAAGUUAUCCAACAAGGUUUGUGUUUUAUUUGUAUUUUAACAAAAUCUAUGAAAAAGAUGUAUCGGAGAAUUGAAUGAUUGAUAAUUUUGGAUUCAAUAUACUCAACCAUGAUGUAUUUUUGAGAAACAAACACCUCAACUUCGAUUCUUUAGCACAAUUAACCAUUUUGACAAAGUUGGCCAUAGUGUUUACGUUAUAAUUGUAAUGAUAGUGAGCUAAAUACCUAACCUUAAGUAGGUAUACAACUACUCUUUUCAAUAUUGAAUAUAUGAUGAAAAUUCGUAUCCCUUUAUUUUAGAGAAAUUUACAUAUCGUGUUCUUCAUAAUUUAUUGCCAAGCUUUAAAAGCCUCUACGUUGUUCAUUUAUUAUUAUGCAAUUAGCUUUUAUUGUACUUCGAAACGUAUAAAAACUUCACUUUGUUGAACUAACGAUGGCUCUCAUUGCUCUUAUCUGGGGGCCAUGUCAAAUAAAUAUGGAAAAUGUACAAGACGCAACAUAAGAACAUGAGCUAAAACCAAGACCAUAAUACUAAAAUACGCAGCAAGAGUGGAAGAGUAACUUUUGUUAGUCGAGCAUUAGCUCGGUCACAUGCCUUCAGUUGGAUCGUUGUUUUCCUUCAUUCUCCAAAUAAAAGUUCACCUACGCCAACAAAGUUAUUUACUCGUAACAACAUAAUGUAUCACUAAUUUUCCAUUCUGCCGGUAUCAAAGUUUGUUAAAAUCUCAAAUAAUCUUCUAGGCACCUUUAUAACAACCCAAAACUUCCAUUGCUAUUAAGCGAAGCAUGAUAUUAAAAUUCUACAGUUCUAAGUUUUCUUUUAAGUAUUCUAUUGAUGCAACAUUAUCUGUACGAGUAUAUAGGACGUGUAUCUUCUUAUUUUGUCUUUGUUUCAAUAUAAUAAUGAGCCGUUACUUCUGAACUAUAAAAUCAAAAUUACUUUAUUUAGUCGGUGACAUGAUUACAAUUUUAUUACGAUCGCUGCCUAGCACAAUUUGAGUUAUGUAUUCCGUUUUCCUAUUAGCAUUCUGCCUACACUGGCACUUUACAAGUCAGAGCAGUCGUCAUAAUUGUAGACAGUGUUCAAUUUAUUGCUCUAUUCUUCUAUAGCCCAAACGGAAUCUUUCUUUUAAUUGAGUUUAAAGUACUACUUUCUGAGCAACACGGAGCUUAAACGUAGCCAUCGUUCAUUUUGCUUCCAGAGGAAGAUUUUCGACAAA